GCUUGAUUCCCCGGCCAUCCUUAUCAAAGACCUUCCAGGUGAAUAGGCAGCCGUCCUCAGCAGUGGUCAGCAGGAAUUGAUCAUCAAAGGGGCAGAGGGUACCUCAUGGCACGAAUGGUUCCCACCGAGGUGCCCACAAACAUCAUGCGUCCGGAAUGCGAGAUGGCAACGGCUGUGUAGGUGACGUCAAACGCCGGUAUUUCUCGAAGGAUCUGGGACACAGAUUCCAUUCGUACACAGCACCAUCUGUGCCACCAGAAAUCAGUUUGCUAUCAUCUGCAUUCCACACAACUGAGCGAAUCUGCAGGAGACAAAGAUACCCAGUGAAGAGGAACCUUCAAAAAUAGCCCAGAGAGGGUGGACUUCUGGAAUGGAAGGUACACAUCCAGCUACUUUACUUCUCCAUUACCACUAGGGAUGAACAUGUGGAUUAUCUUCAACUCUCCAUCUUCAACAAACACUAUGCCAGUAGACAAGAUUUGACUCUGGAGGGGAUGUCUGGGUCAACAGGUAUUUGGAGUCUGGAGAAAAAGCCAUGCUAAUAAAUUUCUGAA